rfam:Camelus ferus unplaced genomic scaffold scaffold348, whole genome shotgun sequence.
GAGGGUACAGCUCAACUGGUAGAGCGCAUGCCUAGCAUGCAGAAGGUCCUGGGUUCAAUCCCCAGUACCUGCU